AGAGUUUGAUCCUGGCUCAGAACGAACGCUGGCGGCGUGCCUAACACAUGCAAGUCGAACGAGAAACUCCGAGCUUGCUCGGAGGAGUAAAGUGGCGCACGGGUGAGUAACGCGUGGGUAACCCGCCCUUGAAUUUGGGAUAACCCCGUGAAAACGGGACUAAUACCGGAUAUUGUCCUGAGAACUUUGGUUCUCGGGAUGAAAGGUGACCUCUUCAUGAAAGUUGCCGUUCAGGGAAGGGCUCGCGUACCAUUAGCUUGUUGGUAGGGUAACGGCCUACCAAGGCUACGAUGGUUAGCUGGUCUGAGAGGAUGAUCAGCCACACUGGAACUGAAACACGGUCCAGACUCCUACGGGAGGCAGCAGUGAGGAAUUUUGCGCAAUGGGGGAAACCCUGACGCAGCAACGCCGCGUGAGUGAAGAAGGCCUUCGGGUCGUAAAGCUCUGUCAAGUGGGAAAAAAUGUCCCGGGUAAAUAGCCCGGGAAACUGAUGGUACCACUGGAGGAAGCACCGGCUAACUCCGUGCCAGCAGCCGCGGUAAUACGGAGGGUGCAAGCGUUGUUCGGAUUUACUGGGCGUAAAGAGCGUGUAGGCGGUUUGAAAAGUCAGAUGUGAAAGCCCUGGGCUCAACCCGGGAAGUGCAUUUGAAACUUUCUUACUUGAGUAUGGGAGAGGAGAGUGGAAUUCCCAGUGUAGAGGUGAAAUUCGUAGAUAUUGGGAGGAACACCCGUGGCGAAGGCGACUCUCUGGACCAAUACUGACGCUGAGACGCGAAAGCGUGGGGAGCAAACAGGAUUAGAUACCCUGGUAGUCCACGCUGUAAACGAUGAGAACUAGGUGUAGCGGGUAUUGACCCCUGCUGUGCCGAAGUUAACGCAUUAAGUUCUCCGCCUGGGGAGUACGGCCGCAAGGCUAAAACUCAAAGGAAUUGACGGGGGCCCGCACAAGCGGUGGAGCAUGUGGUUUAAUUCGACGCAACGCGAAGAACCUUACCUGGGUUUGACAUCCUCUGACCGUCUGGGAAACCAGAUUUAUCCGGUUCUGCCGGAACAGAGUGACAGGUGCUGCAUGGCUGUCGUCAGCUCGUGUCGUGAGAUGUUGGGUUAAGUCCCGCAACGAGCGCAACCCUUAUUUUUAGUUGCCAGUAUUAAGUUAGGCACUCUAAAGAGACUGCCUCGGUUAACGAGGAGGAAGGUGGGGAUGACGUCAAGUCCUCAUGGCCUUUAUACCCAGGGCUACACACGUGCUACAAUGGGCUGUACAAAGGGUCGCU
rnacentral:rRNA from 1 species